UCCGGGAUCGUCUAAUGGUAGGACAGCUGGCUCUGAACCAGUCAAUGGUGGUUCGAAUCCAUCUCCCGGAACCA
rnacentral:tRNA from 1 species